rnacentral:rRNA from 1 species
CGCAGGCAUCUGCGAGGUUCGAAAGCUCCGGCGGUGCAGGAUGAGCCCGCGGCCUAUCAGCUAGUUGGUGAGGUAACGGCUCACCAAGGAGACGACGGGUAGCCGGCCUGAGAGGGCGACCGGCCACACUGGGACUGAGACACGGCCCAGACUCCUACGGGAGGCAGCAGUGGGGAAUAUUGCACAAUGGGCGAAAGCCUGAUGCAGCGACGCCGCGUGAGGGAUGACGGCCUUCGGGUUGUAAACCUCUUUCAGCAGGGAAGAAGCGAAAGUGACGGUACCUGCAGAAGAAGCGCCGGCUAACUACGUGCCAGCAGCCGCGGUAAUACGUAGGGCGCAAGCGUUGUCCGGAAUUAUUGGGCGUAAAGAGCUCGUAGGCGGCUUGUCACGUUGGUUGUGAAAGCCCGGGGCUUAACCCCGGGUCUGCAGUCGAUACGGGCAGGCUAGAGUUCGGUAGGGGAGAUCGGAAUUCCUGGUGUAGCGGUGAAAUGCGCAGAUAUCAGGAGGAACACCGGUGGCGAAGGCGGAUCUCUGGGCCGAUACUGACGCUGAGGAGCGAAAGCGUGGGGAGCGAACAGGAUUAGAUACCCUGGUAGUCCACGCCGUAAACCGUUGGCACUAGGUGUGGGCAACAUUCCACGUUGUCCGU